GUAUCGGUAGCUCAAUUGGCAGAGCAUCGGCCUCCAAAACCGAAAGUUGGGGGUUCGAUUCCUUCCUGGUACG
rnacentral:tRNA from 1 species